CCACUGCUAAUAAAUAUUGUCCGCUUUGGCCCGUUACGUAUUGUCAUCAGCCUCAUAGUCUUAAAACCCAUCUACUACGGAGAUGUUUCCAUACCCUUAUAAGGAAUGCUUCGUUCCUCCCCCCAACCGAUAUGAGAUCUCACAA